rnacentral:rRNA from 1 species
GACGAACGCUGGCGGCGUGCUUAACACAUGCAAGUCGAACGGUGAAGGGACCAGCUUGCUGGCUCUGGAUGAGUGGCGAACGGGUGAGUAACACGUGAGUAACCUGCCCCCUUCUUCUGGAUAAUCGCAUGAAAGUGUGGCUAAUACGGGAUAUUCUGGGUCUGUCGCAUGGCGGGCCCGGGAAAGAUAUUGCUUCGGUGGGGGAUGGGCUCGCGGCCUAUCAGCUUGUUGGUGGGGUGAUGGCCUACCAAGGCGGUGACGGGUAGCCGGCCUGAGAGGGUGGACGGUCACACUGGGACUGAGACACGGCCCAGACUCCUACGGGAGGCAGCAGUGGGGAAUAUUGCACAAUGGGCGCAAGCCUGAUGCAGCGACGCCGCGUGAGGGAUGGAGGCCUUCGGGUUGUAAACCUCUUUCGCCAGUGAAGCAGGCCUGCUCCUUGUGGGUGGGUUGACGGUAGCUGGAUAAGAAGCGCCGGCUAACUACGUG